GAUGAACGCUGGCGGCGUGCCUAAUACAUGCAAGUCGAGCGAACAGAUAAGGAGCUUGCUCCUUUGACGUUAGCGGCGGACGGGUGAGUAACACGUGGGUAACCUACCUAUAAGACUGGGAUAACUUCGGGAAACCGGGGCUAAUACCGGAUAACAUUUGGAACCGCAUGGUUCUAAAGUGAAAGAUGGUUUUGCUAUCACUUAUAGAUGGACCCGCGCCGUAUUAGCUAGUUGGUAAGGUAACGGCUUACCAAGGCGACGAUACGUAGCCGACCUGAGAGGGUGAUAGGCCACACUGGAACUGAGACACGGUCCAGACUCCUACGGGAGGCAGCAGUAGGGAAUCUUCCGCAAUGGGCGAAAGCCUGACGGAGCAACGCCGCGUGAGUGAUGAAGGGUUUCGGCUCGUAAAACUCUGUUAUUAGGGAAGAACAAACGUGUAAGUAACUGUGCACGUCUUGACGGUACCUAAUCAGAAAGCCACGGCUAACUACGUG
rnacentral:rRNA from 1 species